GACGAACGCUGGCGGCGUGCUUAACACAUGCAAGUCGAACGGAAAGGCCCUGCUUUUGUGGGGUGCUCGAGUGGCGAACGGGUGAGUAACACGUGAGUAACCUGCCCUUGACUUUGGGAUAACUUCAGGAAACUGGGGCUCAUACCGGAUAGGAGCUCCUGAUGCAUGGUGGGGGUUGGAAAGUUUCGGCGGUUGGGGAUGGACUCGCGGCUUAUCCGCUUGUUGGUGGGGUAGUGGCUUACCAAGGCUUUGACGGGUAGCCGGCCUGAGAGGGUGACCGGCCACAUUGGGACUGAGGUACGGACCAGACUCCUACGGGAGGCAGCAGUGGGGAAUAUUGCACAAUGGGCGGAAGCCUGAUGCAGCAACGCCGCGUGCGGGAUGACGGCCUUCGGGUUGUAAACCGCUUUCGCCUGUGACGAAGCGUGAGUGACGGUAAUGGGUAAAGAAGCACCGGCUAACUACGUG
rnacentral:rRNA from 1 species